rnacentral:ncRNA from 1 species
CAAGAGCUUGGUCCUGACUUUUCUAUCAGCUCUAGCUAGAUUUACACAUGCAAGUAUCCGCCCACCUGUGAGAAUGCCCUACAGUUCCUCUCCCCGGAACAAGGAGCUGGUAUCAGGCUCGCGCCCUGCAGCCCACGACACCUUGCUUAGCCACACCCCCAAGGGAAGGGAGCCCAGCAGUGAUAAAUAUUAAGCCAUAAGUGAAAACUUGACUUAGUUAAAGCUUAGAGGGGCGGUAAAACUCGUGCCAGCCACCGCGGUUAUACGAGAGGCCCAAGUUGAUACCCGCCGGCGUAAAGAGUGGUUAAGGAGACCCGCAACUAAAGCCGAACACUCUCAGAGCUGUUAUAUGCACCCGAGAGCAAGAAGCCCACUCACGAAAGUAGCUUUAAUCUUCCUGACCCCACGUAAGCUGAGAAACAAACUGGGAUUAGAUACCCCACUAUGCUCAGCCCUAAACUUUAAUGGCACAGUACACAGCCGUUCGCCUGGGGACUACGAGCACUAGCUUGAAACCCAAAGGACUUGGCGGUGCUUUAGAUCCACCUAGAGGAGCCUGUUCUGGAACCGAUAACCCCCGUUUAACCUCACCCUCCCUUGCUUAUUCCGCCUAUAUACCGCCGUCGUCAGCUUACCCUGUGAAGGCAGCAUAGUAAGCAAAACCAGUACAACUCAAAACGUCAGGUCGAGGUGUAGCAUACGGGAGGGGAAGAAAUGGGCUACAUUCUCUGGUUAAGAGAAUACGGAUAAUGACAUGAAAAAUCAUUUGAAGGAGGAUUUAGUAGUAAGCAAGAAGCAGAGUGUUUUGCUGAAACCGGCCCUGAAGCGCGCACACACCGCCCGUCACUCUCCCCAAGCCACCUUACCACUAUAAUUAAAAAGAUUUAUAAGCAAAGGGGAGGCAAGUCGUAACAUGGUAAGUGUACCGGAAGGUGCACUUGGAUAAAU